rnacentral:rRNA from 1 species
GACGAACGCUGGCGGCGUGCUUAGCACAUGCCAGUCGAACGGAAAGGCCCUGCUUUUGUGGGGUGCUCGAGUGGCGAACGGGUGAGUAACACGUGAGUAACCUGCCCUUGACUUUGGGAUAACUUCAGGAAACUGGGGCUAAUACCGGAUAGGAGCUCCUGCUGCAUGGUGGGGGUUGGAAAGUUUCGGCGGUUGGGGAUGGACUCGCGGCUUAUCAGCUUGUUGGUGGGGUAGUGGCUUACCAAGGCUUUGACGGGUAGCCGGCCUGAGAGGGUGACCGGCCACAUUGGGACUGAGAUACGGCCCAGACUCCUACGGGAGGCAGCAGUGGGGAAUAUUGCACAAUGGGCGGAAGCCUGAUGCAGCAACGCCGCGUGCGGGAUGACGGCCUUCGGGUUGUAAACCGCUUUCGCCUGUGACGAAGCGUGAGUGACGGUAAUGGGGAAAGAAGCACCGGCGAACUACGG